UUUUUAGGGAGACCUAAACCCAAUAUCUUGAGGAUGCAAUUAAGCCCAAGAGAUUGAGGUCAACCUAGGUCAGUCGAAGAAUCGUCGUAGCUUUCAAACGAUAAGAGGUUAGGAAUCCCAAUUUCUCAAAUCAGUUUGAGUGAUUGGGAAAAAGAGACCAACCUUGAAAUGGGCUAUUAGCUCAGGUGGUUAGAGCGCACCCCUGAUAAGGGUGAGGUCCCUGGUUCAAGUCCAGGAUGGCCCACCUAACUCCUUAGUGCUGCGAGAGCAGAAACUAAGAAAAUGGGGGUAUAGCUCAGUUGGUAGAGCGCCUGCUUUGCAAGCAGGAUGUCAGCGGUUCGAGUCCGCUUACCUCCAUGCUGGUCUCACCCCAACUCAAUCAUUCCUAACACCGACAAGAAAGCAAGGAUACCUCAGCACCUGAGAAAGACUCAGACUGCUGGGACAUCCCAGCCAGAACCUUGAAAACUGCAUAGUCAACCUAAAAAAAGUCAGGUGAAGUCGAGACCUCAAAAAAAUGAAGUCAAGCUACAAAGAGCUAACGGUGGAUACCUAAGCACACAGAGGCGAAGA
rnacentral:tRNA from 1 species